rnacentral:rRNA from 1 species
UACAGAGGGUGCGAGCGUUGUUCGGAAUUACUGGGCGUAAAGCGCGCGCAGGCGGAUCCUGUAAGUCUGAAGUGAAAUCUCACUGCUCAACGGUGAGACUGCUCUGGAUACUGCGGAUCUUGAGACCGGUAGAGACUGGUAGAAUUGCAGGUGUAGCGGUGGAAUGCGUAGAGAUUGGGAAGAACACCGGUGGCGAAAGCGCUCUGCUGGACUGCAACUGACACUCAUGGACGAAAGCUAGGGGAGCGAAUGGG